AUACAGCUGACGAGUCCUAAAUGGGACGAAACACGAGUCCUGUAU
rfam:Schistosoma haematobium scaffold279_26, whole genome shotgun sequence.